GUUAUUUGUUAAUUAAUUGGUGCUGUCUCCUGGGACGCAGGAAUGGAACCUUGUUCUGUUAUCGCUGUGCCUGGAACUGAGGAUUGCAGGAGUGCCAGAUAACACCCUGUCAUGUGUAUCUCAGGCUAUUCCCCCUGUAAAACUCAAAUGGCUUUAGUAUAAGCUCUUGCCUUCGGUGAAUGAGAAGAAAGGAUGAGCUCGAACAACCUGUCCCAACCUCCCUCCUUGCACGAUGCCAGCUGAGCCUCUGAACCGCGCUCCCCCGGCUGCCUUUCCGUGAACCCC
rnacentral:lncRNA from 1 species